GGAGUUAGCCGGUGCUUCUUCUGCGAGUAACGUCACAGAUGUAAGGUAUUAACUUACACCCUUUCCUCCUCGCUGAAAGUGCUUUACAACCCGAAGGCCUUCUUCACACACGCGGCAUGGCUGCAUCAGGGUUUCCCCCAUUGUGCAAUAUUCCCCACUGCUGCCUCCCGUAGGAGUCUGGGCCGUGUCUCAGUCCCAGUGUGGCUGAUCAUCCUCUCAGACCAGCUAGGGAUCGUCGCCUAGGUGAGCCUUUACCUCACCUACUAGCUAAUCCCACCUGGGCUUAUCCAUCAGCGCAAGGCCCGAAGGUCCCCUGCUUUCCCCCGUAGGGAGUAUGCGGUAUUAGCAGUCGUUUCCAACUGUUAUCCCCCACAAAUGGGCAAAUUCCCAGGCAUUACUCACCCGUCCGCCGCUCGUCAUCUUCAAAAGCAAGCUUUUGAAAUGUUACCGCUCGACUUGCAUGUGUUAGGCCUGCCGCCAGCGUCAUCUGAGCCAGAUACAAACUACUGA
rnacentral:rRNA from 1 species